GUUACUUGCUCUCUGAAUGUUUGUUUUUUGCAAUUUUUGGCGUAUGCGAUCUCGAAAUAUAUACAAACAUGUUUGACGGUUGGAUCAUUGAAACUAGUUUCGUAGAAUGAGUAUCCCAUCAAAACAAUAGAUUCACUAAUAUUUAAGAGUUUAUUCAUACUUUUAUUAAGUAUAACAUAAGCUUUUGUGGUAUCCACUAGUGUAAAUAUUUUAAAUUGAAGAUCGAAUUCAAUCAUUGUAUUCAUAUAGGGUCAAGGAGUGUAGUUGUAAAAAAUCAUCAAAAUCGGAGUUAAAAUGACCGUUAAAUCAUGAUUUUUCGUUUAUAACCGUCGAAAACUUUUGUCCCGUUACUUGAUCUCUGAAUGUUUGUUUUUUGUAAUUUUUGACGUAUGCGAUCUCGAAGUAUAUACAAACAUGUUUGACGGUUAGAUCUUUGAAACUAGUUUCGUAGAAUGAGUAUCCCAUCAAAACAAUAGAUUCACUAAUACUUAAUAGUUUAUUCAUACUUUUAUUAAGUAUAAUAUAAGAUUUUGUGGUAUCCACUAGUGUAAAUAUUUUAAAUUGAAGAUCCAAUUCAAUCAUUGUAUUCAUAUAAGGUCAAGGAGUGUAGCUGCAAAAAAACAUCAAAAUUAGAGUUAAAAUGACCGUUAAAUCGUGAUUUUUCUUUUUAUAACCGUCGAAAAGUUUUGUCCCGUUAAUUGAUCUCUGAAUGUUUGUUUUUUGUAAUUUUUGACGUAUGCGAUCUCGAAGUAUACACAAACAUGUUUGACGGUUGGAUCUUUGAAACUAGUUUCGUAGAAUGAGUAUCCCAUCAAAACAAUAGAUU
rnacentral:lncRNA from 1 species